AUGAACGCUGGCGGCGUGCCUCAUCCAUGCCAGUCGCGCGAACAGACGAGGAGCUUGCUCCUCUGACGUUAGCGGCGGACGGGUGAGUAACACGUGGAUAACCUACCUAUAAGACUGGGAUAACUUCGGGAAACCGGAGCUAAUACCGGAUAAUAUAUUGAACCGCAUGGUUCAAUAGUGAAAGACGGUUUUGCUGUCACUUAUAGAUGGAUCCGCGCCGCAUUAGCUAGUUGGUAAGGUAACGGCUUACCAAGGCAACGAUGCGUAGCCGACCUGAGAGGGUGAUCGGCCACACUGGAACUGAGACACGGUCCAGACUCCUACGGGAGGCAGCAGUAGGGAAUCUUCCGCAAUGGGCGAAAGCCUGACGGAGCAACGCCGCGUGAGUGAUGAAGGUCCUCGGAUCGUAAAACUCUGUUAUUAGGGAAGAACAAAUGUGUAAGUAACUAUGCACGUCUUGACGGUACCUAAUCAGAAAGCCACGGCUAACUACGUG
rnacentral:rRNA from 1 species